rnacentral:rRNA from 1 species
CGGUAAGGCUCCAGCUUGCUGGGGUACACGAGUGGCGACACGGGGUGAGUAACACGUGGGUGACCUGCCCUGCACUUCGGGAUAAGCCUGGGAAACUGGGUCUAAUACCGGAUAGGACCGCACCGUGAGGGUGUGGUGGAAAGUUUUUCGGUGUGGGAUGGGCCCGCGGCCUAUCAGCUUGUUGGUGGGGUAAUGGCCUACCAAGGCGGCGACGGGUAGCCGGCCUGAGAGGGUGGACGGCCACAUUGGGACUGAGACACGGCCCAGACUCCUACGGGAGGCAGCAGUGGGGAAUAUUGCACAAUGGGCGGAAGCCUGAUGCAGCGACGCCGCGUGGGGGAUGACGGCCUUCGGGUUGUAAACUCCUUUCACCAUCGACGAAGGGUUCCUGACGGUAGAUGGAGAAGAAGCACCGGCUAACUACGUGCCAGCAGCCGCGGUAAUACGUAGGGUGCGAGCGUUGUCCGGAAUUACUGGGCGUAAAGAGCUCGUAGGUGGUUUGUCGCGUCGUCUGUGAAAUUCCGGGGCUUAACUCCGGGCGUGCAGGCGAUACGGGCAUAACUUGAGUACUGUAGGGGAGACUGGAAUUCCUGGUGUAGCUGGUGAAAUGCGCUAGAUAUCUAGGAGGAACUACCUGGUGGCGAAGGCGGGUCUUCUGGGCUAGUAACUGACGCUUGAGGAGCGAAAGCAUGGGGAGCGAACUAGGAUUAGAUACCCUGGUAGUCCUAUGCCGUAAACUGGUGGGCGCUAGGUGUGGGUUUCCUUCCACGGGAUCCGCGCCGUAGUAACGGUCAUAAGCGCCCCGCCUGGGGAGUACGCCGCAAG